rnacentral:rRNA from 1 species
UACGUAGGUGGCAAGCGUUGUCCGGAAUUAUUGGGCGUAAAGCGUGCGCAGGUGGUUUCUUAAGUCUGAUGUGAAAGCCCACGGCUCAACCGUGGAGGGUCAUUGGAAACUGGGGAACUUGAGUGCAGAAGAGGAAAGUGGAAUUCCACGUGUAGCGGUGAAAUGCGUAGAGAUGUGGAGGAACACCAGUGGCGAAGGCGACUUUCUGGUCUGUAACUGACACUGAGGCGCGAAAGCGUGGGGAGCAAACAGG